GACGAACGCUGGCGGCGUGCUUAACACAUGCAAGUCGAACGGUGAAGCGCCUUCCUUUUUGGUGGGUGUGGAUGAGUGGCGAACGGGUGAGUAACACGUGAGUAACCUGCCCCCUUCUUCUGGAUAACCGCAUGAAAGUGUGGCUAAUACGGGAUAUUCUGUGUCUGUCGCAUGAUGGGUCUGGGAAAGAUAUUGUUUCGGUGGGGGAUGGGCUCGCGGCCUAUCAGCUUGUUGGUGGGGUGAUGGCCUACCAAGGCGGUGACGGGUAGCCGGCGUGAGAGGGUGGACGGUCACACUGGGACUGAGACACGGCCCAGACUCCUACGGGAGGCAGCAGUGGGGAAUACUGCACAAUGGGCGCAAGCCUGAUGCAGCGACGCCGCGUGAGGGAUGGAGGCCUUCGGGUUGUGAACCUCUUUCGCCAGUGAAGCAGGCCUGCCUCGUUUGUGGGUGGGUUGACGGUAGCUGGAUAAGAAGCGCCGGCUAACUACGUG
rnacentral:rRNA from 1 species